rnacentral:pre_miRNA from 1 species
AGGAGGAACAACCCCAGUGGUGGGGCCAGCUCUGGAGCCCUGGAGUCAGCUCCCACAGUAACUCCAGAGCUCUCCGUCUGCAGGGCCUGGAUGCUCCGGGGGCGG